UACGUAGGUGGCAAGCGUUGUCCGGAAUUAUUGGGCGUAAAGGGCGUGCAGGCGGUCUGUUAGGUCUAGGGUGAAAGCUCCCGGCUCAACUGGGAGAGGUCCUUGGAUACUGGCGGACUUGAGGGAUGCAGAGGAAAGUGGAAUUCCCGGUGUAGUGGUGAUAUGCGUAGAUAUCGGGAGGAACACCAGUGGCGAAGGCGGCUUUCUGGGCAUUACCUGACGCUGAGACGCGAAAGCGUGGGGAGCAAACAGG
rnacentral:misc_RNA from 1 species